UAGGGAAUCUUCCACAAUGGACGCAAGUCUGAUGGAGCAACGCCGCGUGAGUGAAGAAGGUUUUCGGACCGUAAAGCUCUGUUGUUGGUGAAGAAGGAUAGAGGCAGUAACUGGCCUUUAUUUGACGGUAAUCAACCAGAAAGUCACGGCUAACUACGUGCCAGCAGCCGCGGUAAUACGUAGGUGGCAAGCGUUGUCCGGAUUUAUUGGGCGUAAAGCGAGCGCAGGCGGAAGAAUAAGUCUGAUGUGAAAGCCCUCGGCUUAACCGAGGAAUUGCAUCGGAAACUGUUUUCUUGAGUGCAGAAGAGGAGAGUAGAACUCCAUGUGUAGCGGUGGAAUGCGUAGAUAUAUGGAAGAAUACCAGUGGCGAAGGCGGCUCUCUGGUCUGCAACUGACGCUGAGGCUCGAAAGCAUGGGUAGCGAACAGGAUUAGAUACCCUGGUAGUCCAUGCCGUAAACGAUGAGUGCUAAGUGUUGGGAGGCUUCCGCCUCUCAGUGCUGCAGCUAACGCAUUAAGCACUCCGCCUGGGGGAGUACGACCGCAAGGUUGAAAC
rnacentral:rRNA from 1 species